CUCAGAACGAACGCUGGCGGCAGGCUUAACACAUGCAAGUCGAACGCUGUAGCAAUACAGAGUGGCAGACGGGUGAGUAACGCGUGGGAACGUGCCCUUCGGUUCGGAAUAACUCAGGGAAACUUGAGCUAAUACCGGAUACGUGCGAGAGCAGAAAGAUUUAUCGCCGAAGGAUCGGCCCGCGUCCGAUUAGCUAGUUGGUGAGGUAAUGGCUCACCAAGGCGACGAUCGGUAGCUGGUCUGAGAGGAUGAUCAGCCACACUGGGACUGAGACACGGCCCAGACUCCUACGGGAGGCAGCAGUGGGGAAUAUUGGACAAUGGGCGAAAGCCUGAUCCAGCCAUGCCGCGUGAGUGAUGAAGGCCCUAGGGUUGUAAAGCUCUUUCGCCAGGGACGAUAAUGACGGUACCUGGAUAAGAAGCCCCGGCUAACUUCGUGCCAGCAGCCGCGGUAAUACGAAGGGGGCUAGCGUUGUUCGGAUUUACUGGGCGUAAAGCGCACGUAGGCGGAUCUUUAAGUCAGGGGUGAAAUCCCGGGGCUCAACCAUACAACUGCGUUCCAAACUGGUAAACUUGAGUGCGAGAGAGGUAGAUGGAAUUCCCAGUGUAGGAGUGAAAUCCGUAGAUAUUGGGAGGAACACCGAUGGCGUAGGCAGUCUACUGGCUCGCUACUGACACUAAGGCACGAAAGCGUGGGUAGCAAACGGGAUUAGAUACCCCGGUAGUCCACGCUGUAAACUAUGGAUGCUAGCUUUUACUCACAUCGCUGAGUAGAAGCGAAGUUAACGCGUUAAGCAUCCCGCCUGAGGAGUACGGUCGCAAGAUUAAA
rnacentral:rRNA from 1 species